rnacentral:ncRNA from 1 species
CAGAGGAAACUCUUGUGGAGGUCCGAAGCGCUUCUGACGUGCAAAUCGAUCGUCCGACCCAGGUAUAGGGGCGAAAGACUAAUCGAACCAUCUAGUAGCUGGUUCCCUCCGAAGUUUCCCUCAGGAUAGCUGGCGCUUGUUGCCGAGACCAGUCACACCUGGUAAAGCGAAUGAUUAGAGGCAUUGGGGUCGAAAUGACCUUAACCUAUUCUCAAACUUUCAAUGGGUGUGUCGGAGGCCUUCUGGUCUGAGGCCUCCGGAAGCGAUGAGAGUGCCAAGUGGGCCACUUUUGGUAAGCAGAACUGGCGCUGUGGGAUGAACCAAACGCCGGGGUAAGGCGCCCGAUGCGGGACGCUCAUGAGAUCCCAUGAAGGGUGUUGGUUGCUUAAGACAGCAGGACGGUGGCCAUGGAAGUCGGAACCCGCUAAGGAGUGUGUAACAACUCACCUGCCGAAGCAACUAGCCCCGAAAAUGGAUGGCGCUCUAGUGUCGAGCCUAUCCCCGGCCGCUGCCGGCCUCGGUGAAAGCGAAUUAUUGGAGAGAGCACGGCCUGACGAGAGACGUUUGGCGCCGUUUUAUUCGUUCACCGUGACCACUAUCUCGG